rnacentral:rRNA from 1 species
UACGGAGGGGGCUAGCGUUGUUCGGAAUUACUGGGCGUAAAGCGCGCGUAGGCGGACCUGCAAGUCGGGGGUGAAAGCCCGAGGCUCAACUCGGAACUGCCUUCGAUACUGCGGGUCUCGAGUCCGGGAGAGGUGAGUGGAAUUCCUAGUGUAGAGGUGAAAUUCGUAGAUAUUAGGAAGAACACCAGUGGCGAAGGCAGCUCACUACGGAUUGAUUGACACUGAGGCACGAAAGCGUGGGGAUCAAACAGG